ensembl:lncRNA
CAACCCUAUAGCUGAUAAAUUGGCACUGGUAUUUCAGUCAAUGAAGUGGGGUCAAUAUUACAGUCAGUGAAGCACGUGUCUGCUAUGAUAGCUAGCAGGUACAAUUUUAGCAUGUUUAGCUUCUAGCUAGCUGUGCAUUGUUAAGUUGGCAUUUUGGCAAGUUUGGUCUCAUGUGUAGUGUCUAUCUGCCAUCCUCUUUAUAAUGAAAAUCAAGCUUCGGCAUUUUAAUCACUGUUCAAGUCGGUUCAGACAACUAAUGGGUAUUGGCGCCUGUUUGAACGUAAAGUACGGCCUUAUCUGCUAAUGGUUGCUACCGACCAUUACCUUGAAACCAUUCAGCAAAUACACAGUCCAUAUGGUGAUUUAAUAUCACCGCUCAUUUUACACACAGUUUAAAAUGAGCGGUUAGUAAUGAGUGAACUUUACUUGCUAGCUAGCUACGUUUUUCAUGUUGGUUUUGAGCGGUAUGCACCCCCACUAACCUAGAAAACUGUUUUAAAACAGUAACAUUAGCUAGCUAGCUAAUACAGAGGAAUACUCCAUGCAGAGAGUCAGAUGCAGAGGGACAGUCAUUGCAGCGUUAGCUAAUGUUAGCUUCUUGUUUCAUCUGGGGUCUAAUAAACAGUCUAAUUUGUAGCAAUGAAACAGACAACACCACUAUUCAACUAUGUUUUUAUUUAAAUACAUUAGAAAUGAUAACUUUUACACACCUGAUCAAGGUGUCUUUCUGAAAUGUCUCUUUUAGAACAAAAAUGAAUAGAAAGACUGUGCUUGUCUCCUUAUCAACCUUAAGACGAACUGCUAUAUCCAUUUUGGUAAGCCCUGAACAUCUCUACCUUGCUGACUAUGCCGGACAAAUGCUAAAAUCUUUUGUAAACCAUUUUGGCGAGCUGUAUGGGACAGACCAGAUUGUGUACAAUGGUCCACCUGGCAGACGAGGUGACGAGGCAUGGCUGUCUGUCUUUUUCAGCAACAACACCCCAACAGAUUCUGCCAAAAAAAUGCAACAGUACUCUACGGUUAAGCUGAAGUUCUACUUGACCAUUAUGACCUGUACUUUUUCCUUCCUUAUACUUCUUCCCACCUUGGGGCACCAUUCAGGUUAACUUUCAGCCCAUCUUACUUGCUUAUUUGUAUACAUUGUAGGCCUAUACUUGUGCAUGCUUUAGUCCAUGUUAUUCCUUUUUUGAUGAUGAAUAAAUACCCUUUUUCUUUCUACAUUAAGGAUGCCUUUUAAUCUAAUUGAAUUUCAAGCAAGCGAGGACAUUGCUGUUGUGCCAGUUGACUGGUAUGAUGACGGGAUGGUGUACUGGCCCAGCUUUAAGAGCACUGAACGUGUGAAACGGGCAGCUGCUAACGAGGAGAAGCAUGAGCCAAACUGGCCAAGAUAUGACGUAAAGGUCGUCAGAACUUGUGACAACUACAAAAACGCCAUCAGUCUAAUCAAUAUCAGACCGGCUGCAACACCUCUGAGCUACAGUCUGGGGCAGAGCAGGAGGGUGAGCUGCCAGAGAAACGAGUCAGGAAGCCAAUCUAUCGUUUUGGGGACUCUGACGAGAGUGAAGAGAAGCUAAGUCACAAUUUUCUCUGAGGUCGCCACGACCUUCCAACUCGGCUGGUGUAUCAGUUGGAUCCUCAAGCCCAAACCAAUUACACUGGCAAACUCCACCAUCUCGCCGAGUGCCAGGCAGCAGAGUCACUACUCCUCAACCUGGAGGAAACUGUCUAGGGCCAUUGUUUGGCCCUGUAGCUCGCAGCAUACCAUUGGUUAACAGAUCACAACCAUUUUAAUAGCAAUCUCUCUCCCUUAUCACCUGACCAUGGGGCCGGACCGCAACACCCUUCACCACCUCAACUCCCUGCACCUGCAUUUAACAUGAGGAGAGUUACUCAAGGAACGGCAGUCCCUCCUCAACUCCCUCCACCCCCCGCACCAACCCUCAACAUGAGCCGAACAGAGGAGCCCUCUUUAAGCCUGGCCUACAGACCAACAUGGCGAGGGGGAAGAAUGACCGAUACCAUUCCCUGCUCUGCAGCUGAGGUCCACAUCCUUAGCCUGCUGGAGACCAUUAAACAGCAACAAGACCAGCUUGUGGCAAAGGUGCUGUGAGGAAAAACAGUGACACAGUCAGCCACGGACGCAGAGGUCACCAAGCACGCAAUCAGGUGGUUCAACCUGGCAGCGGAUCGGGCAA